AUUGAACGCUGGCGGCAUGCCUUACACAUGCAAGUCGAACGGUAACAGGUCUUCGGAUGCUGACGAGUGGCGAACGGGUGAGUAAUACAUCGGAACGUGCCUAGUAUUGGGGGAUAACUACUCGAAAGAGUGGCUAAUACCGCAUGAGAUCUACGGAUGAAAGCAGGGGAACGCAAGACCUUGUGCUACUAGAGCGGCCGAUGGCAGAUUAGGUAGUUGGUGGGAUAAAAGCUUACCAAGCCGACGAUCUGUAGCUGGUCUGAGAGGACGAUCAGCCACACUGAGACUAGAACACGGCCCAGACUCCUACGGGAGGCAGCAGUGGGGAAUUUUGGACAAUGGGCGCAAGCCUGAUCCAGCAAUGCCGCGUGCAGGAUGAAGGCCUUCGGGUUGUAAACUUCUUUUGUACGGAACGAAAAGCCCUGGGUUAAUACCCUGGGGUCAUGACGGUACCGUAAGAGUAAGCACCGGCUAACUACGUGCCAGCCGCCGCCGUAACAC
rnacentral:rRNA from 1 species